rnacentral:rRNA from 1 species
AACGAACGCUGGCGGCGUGCUUAAUACAUGCAAGUCGAACGAGAAAGCUCUUUCGGGAGUGAGUAGAGUGGCGCACGGGUGAGUAACACGUAGGUGAUCUGCCCUUUAGUGGGGGAUAACCCAGAGAAAUUUGGGCUAAUACCGCAUAAGGAGUACAAAGGUGAAACUAGUACUGGAAAGAAUGCCUCUACUUGUAAGCAUUCGCUGAAGGAUGAGCUUGCGUAGCAUUAGCUUGUUGGUGGGGUAAUGGCCUACCAAGGCGACGAUGCUUAGCUGGUCUGAGAGGAUGAUCAGCCACACUGGAACUGAGACACGGUCCAG